rnacentral:rRNA from 1 species
CCUACGGGAGGCAGCAGUGGGGAAUAUUGCACAAUGGGGGAAACCCUGAUGCAGCGACGCCGCGUGAGUGAAGAAGUAUCUCGGUAUGUAAAGCUCUAUCAGCAGGGAAGAAAAUGACGGUACCUGACUAAGAAGCCCCGGCUAACUACGUGCCAGCAGCCGCGGUAAUACGUAGGGGGCAAGCGGUAUCCGGAUUUACUGGGUGUAAAGGGAGCGUAGACGGCGCUGCAAGUCCGGAGUGAAAGCCCAUGGCUUAACCAUGGUACAGCUUUGGAACCUGUGCAGCUAGAGUGCAGGAGAGGUAAGCGGAAUUCCUAGUGUAGCGGUGAAAUGCGUAGAUAUUAGGAGGAACACCAGUGGCGAAGGCGGCUUACUGGACUGUAACUGACGUUGAGGCUCGAAAGCGUGGGGAGCAAACAGGAUUAGAUACCCCUGUAGUC